rnacentral:rRNA from 1 species
AGUGAACGCUGGCGGUAGGCCUAACACAUGCAAGUCAAACGGCAGCACAGUAAGAGCUUGCUCUUACGGGUGGCGAGUGGCGGACGGGUGAGGAAUACAUCGGAAUCUACUUUUUCGUGGGGGAUAACGUAGGGAAACUUACGCUAAUACCGCAUACGACCUACGGGUGAAAGCAGGGGAGCUUCGGACCUUGCGCGAUUGAAUGAGCCGAUGUCGGAUUAGCUAGUUGGCGGGGUAAAGGCCCACCAAGGCGACGAUCCGUAGCUGGUCUGAGAGGAUGAUCAGCCACACUGGAACUGAGACACGGUCCAGACUCCUACGGGAGGCAGCAGUGGGGAAUAUUGGACAAUGGGCGCAAGCCUGAUCCAGCCAUACCGCGUGGGUGAAGAAGGCCUUCGGGUUGUAAAGCCCUUUUGUUGGGAAAGAAAAGCAGCAGGUUAAUACCCCGCUGUUCUGACGGUACCCAAAGAAUAAGCACCGGCUAACUUCGUG